CGGGCCCUCACCAUUGAAGCGGUUGGCUCUGGACUCAACCCGCUUGCUUAAGUCUCUCCGUUGUCCAAUUUCCAGCGCCUCUCUAGUCUCCUAUUGGCUUCCUUUGCACCAGAAGCAGUGAGAUGUCUAAAAUGAGAAGCCAUGGAUCUGUCAAAGGGGAGAAUUCUGAGAUUGAAGUUGAUCGAAAUGAGGUUCAAAAAUCUGUUCUUGACGACGUAGAAGAAAAAGGGAACGUGCCCCCUGCUCUGUCGUCCUCUGUUGCUGCUUUUGUUCCUUCUCUUCCCAUUUUCUCCCCCUUGCAAACGGUAACUAAAUGGGAAUGGGAACAUCUCUUGCAGAAGGGGGGAAAAAAAAUAUUCUGAGACUGAGAAUUGGGGGAGGGGGUGGUGGGCGCCGGCAGGCCCCCUCCGCCCCCUCUACCUCUACUUGCCCAGCUUCCCGAUUCUUGCUAUCAUUUUUUUUCAAUUUUCAACUUUUACUUUUUUUUAAAUUUUCAAAUAUUAAUUUUUAUCGAAAACUGUUAGAUUUUGAUAGAAAAGGUCACGGUAGGAUCAAUACGAACAAAAAAACAUAACGUUUAGAAUGAAGUUUAACAAAAAAAAAAA